UGAAAGUCCCAAGAAGAGAACUGCGUUCAUGUUUAUGAGAAGAAGAGGAAGACCCCAGUAGAAAGAAAUAAGACCAGAGAGGAUUUGGGGGAUUUUUAAGAUGGGACCCUCCUGAAGAGCAGAAGAGAAGGGGAAUGAAAACGGCCAUGGUCCAGUAAUCGAUGACUUUGGUGUGAGGAGUCUUACACUGGAACCAUGUGCAUUAAGUUGCUGCUCCUUCAGCUACGCGGCAGUCAUGUUUGUAAAUCCCAAAGACCGUCGCCAUCUUAAAGAGCCCAGCGUGGAGCACGCACCGUCACAAAGCCUUCUGGGAAACGUCUAUCACCACAAACCGUGAGAUAAUUUGCCUCAGCAGUAGGAGAAGAUGGAGAAUCCACAAGAACAAGUGUGUAGUUCUUCAAAGAUGAAUAAAUAUGUUUGUGUCUGAUGUUACUGAGGAACAAAGAGUGAGUUAUCUCUGGAUCUGUGUGUGUGCGUUAGGGACCUUUGUCCGGUGAUGUCACUACAGACUGUGUGGACAUAAAGAUUAGACACUGAUAAACCAUCUCUGCCCACACACACACACACACACACACACACACACACACACACACACACACACACACACACACACACACACACACACACACACGCUCAGUAAUGUAGCUCCACUUGUUUACCAGGACCAACGGGUUGACCAAUCACAGACGCCCGUGGUCCAGUGAUGUCACUGAGCUGAUGAGGAAAUGGCCUCAGAGGAGGUUUGAUGUCAUGCGCCUCCCUCGCUCUGUCCCUCAUUUUUUCUGUCAUCCGACAUCUUUCCCUGUUCUCUCCAUCCUGCUCAGCGUUCCUCUUUCCUUCAUCGUCUGUUUAGCAAACAGAUAUUUAGACUAAA